rnacentral:pre_miRNA from 1 species
AAUAUACUCCCUCCGUCUAGAAAUACUUGUCAUCAAAAUAAAUAAAAGGGGAUGUAUCUAGAUGUAUUUUAGUUCUAGAUACAUCCCUUUUUAUUCAUUUUGAUGACAAGUAUUUUCGGAUGGAGGGAGUAUUAA